rnacentral:rRNA from 1 species
AACGAACGCUGGCGGCAGGCUUAACACAUGCAAGUCGAACGCCCCGCAAGGGGAGUGGCAGACGGGUGAGUAACGCGUGGGAAUCUACCCAGCUCUACGGAACAACUCCGGGAAACUGGAGCUAAUACCGUAUACGCCCUUAGGGGGAAAGAUUUAUCGGGGAUGGAUGAGCCCGCGUUGGAUUAGCUAGUUGGUGGGGUAAAGGACUACCAAGGGGACGAUCCAUAGCUGGUCGGAGAGGAUGAUCAGCCACAUUGGGACUGAGACACGGCCCAAACUCCUACGGGAGGCAGCAGUGGGGAAUAUUGGCCAAUGGGGUCAAGCCUGAUCCAGCCAUGCCGCGUGAGGGAUGAAGGCCUUAGGGUUGUAAAGCUCUUUCACCGAUGAAGAUAAUGACGGUAGUCGGAGAAGAAGCCCCGGCUAACUUCGUGCCAGCCGCCGCCGUAAUAC